UACCGCCAGAGGAGGCGCCCUUGCCAGAGAAGACGUGUUUAUCAGAGGAGUUCUUCAUGCCAGAGAUGUCAAUAUCACCAGAGAAGACGCCUUCGCCAGAGAAGACAUUUCCAUCAGAGGAGCCAAUAAACGCGCGGGAAGGUCUCCCGCGUAUUAUCGAAAUUACCAAUGUACCCUUCCACCACGCAGGACGCAUGCACCGAAGAUGUUUUUACUAUUUUACCCCUCCGCUUGUAAAUACUAUAAAUAGGGCCCGAGCUCGUGUAUUAUUUCUUACGCUAUCUCAUAUUUUUAUACAACAGUCAUUUUUCUCUCCCGUAUUAAGUUUCCGAUCAUUCUACUUCGCUCUUUCCGAUCAGUUCCAAUAGGUAUAGUUUACUGUUUCAUCGUGUAGUUUUUAGGUGUUGGUUUCAUUAAACACCACCUAUAUAUAUAAAUAUAUAGGAUAGAGUUCUAUGGAGACCAUCAAAAAUUCGAAGAACAAAGACCAAAUCUUGUGCGUCGAUCUUGGUAUAUUCAAGGGUGAUGAUUCACCUGGUGAAAAUUUGAUAUUUUCGUUAAUUGUCAUAGAUAUAGGCAAUCAAAUAUUUUAUUUAUGGAAUAUUAAUUUAUGAAGAGUCUGUUACGUGAAUAAUGCAUCCACAUAUUAUGUUCAUUGAUAUGUUCGUAGAAAAUACUAAUGAACAUACUAAUGUUCGUUGAUAUGUUCGUAAAAAAAUAAAUGAACAUACUAAUGUUCGUCGAUGUUUUCAUAAAAAUAUAAAUGAACAUACUAAUGAACAUACUAAUGUUCGUCGAUAUUUUUGUAGGAAAAAUAAAUGAACAUAAUAAUGUUCACAUAUUAUGUUCAUUAACGGAUCAGGCCCCAGAACAGGAAGUUUCGAAAUUUUUGGAAUUUAUUCAACGUGAUCCCAGAUUUUAGUGGAUUUAAUCAACCAAUAUGAGCAAGUAAAAGCACAACGUAUGUGACUAUCCAAUGUGUUAUUUUUGUUAGCUUUUGGAAACUCUUCAAAAGCACCAAUGAUAAACAUUCAUUUUGCAUUGUUUUUAUUGGCAAAUUAUUGCUUGAAGUGUUAGGAAUAUGUUUAAUUGUCAUAUCAUUUAUUAUGAGUUUCAUAUUCUUUUGUGAUAUUACGUUUAGGAGUAGUUUUGGUUGUUUUGGUACAAAUUUGAGUGUUUUAGAAACAUAACAUCGAUAAUGAAAUUCCGAAGUUCGAGUUUCAAGAGUUACGGGCUAGAUAAUCAAGGAAAUGAGCUCGAAAAGGUCAAGAUAUACGUUAAAAGAAAGAUGCAUCGGGGAUCGUGCCAUAGGUCGUCGAGCUCAAGAGGUGGACAAAGGGCGAGUCCGACGAUCGUCGUGGAGGUUGUCAAUGUCUAUAUAUCAUUUUGGGCAUCUAGGCGAUCACUCAAACAAGAAUUCGAGCUGUUGUUCAGCGACCUGUCCGGCGAUCUGAGCCGAGGUCACCGCCCUCCCACGUUUUUUUCAUUUUCGCGAUUUCUUCUGUAUUUUUGAAUUUCUUGACUAAAUUUUUCCCUGAGCCUAUAAUAGGUGUCAUUGUUGACCUUAUUUAGGGUUGUACAAACAUGAUUUUUGUACCUCACUUUCGCAUGUAAUUAUUGUCUAUUUUCCCCUAUGUAUUUGAUUAUUAGUGUUGUGUUUGUAUCUCAAUUUGAGCUUUGUUGAAAUAUGAUGCUUGGUGUAUCUUUGGAGUGAUUUCAGGGAAUAUCAAAUAUCAAUUGGAGAAUUGUGGGGACAUGAGAUUGAAGUACACCUCGAGAGAAAUUCGUGAGCGCAAACGGCGACGGAAUUAGAGCUGGGACGAGGAAGAAUAGAGCCGACAAAGCCGGCUACGCAGGACCCCACGGCCGCGGCAGCCGGCCGUAGCUAAGGAGCAGUGGACCACGGGCACACCCGUGGCCGCGGGUGGUGACCGCGGCUAUGUCCGCCCGUGAUACAGAACGUUCUGGAUCAGCACCUACGGUCCGAGCCGCGGCCGCGGGCUUUCUCCUUUCCAGCCGCGUUCCCGGCCACGGUCGCCGCCGUGACUGCGGGGAAAAGGCGGGUUUCCUCCCCUUGGUGGGCCCAGACGUGAUUUUUAGACCUUAAACCCUUUCCCCCUCUUCCAACUACCAAAAUUGAAGGCAUUGAAGAUGAGAGAAGGAAGAAAGCAACAUUGAAAUAUGAUUUGUCACUUUGCUUCUCUCUUUCAUUUAUGUUAUUCCUUUAAUCUAGGUAUGUUGUAUGUUGAAUAUGUUAGGCUAAAAUUCCCCUUUAAUUUGNAGUGGUUGGUGAGGAGCAAUAUAUGCAGAGUAGGGAGAGAGUACAAAUCAGAGGAACCACUCUCAUCAGAGGAGCCGUAUGGGUCAGAAGAACCAUUUAUACCAGAAGGAUUUCAUCCAUCAGAGGAAUGACUCUAGCCAGAGGAGUCAUCCGCACCAGAGAAGUCAUUCUUGACAAAGGAGCUCUCUCCUCCAGAGAAAUCAUCUGCGCCGGAAAAGUCACCAUCGUCAGGGAGGUCAUCGUCAUCAGAAAAGUCAACUCCAUCAGAGAAGUCACUACCGCCAGAGGAGGCGCCCUUGCCAGAGAAGACGUGUUUAUCAGAGGAGUUCUUCAUGCCAGAGAUGUCAAUAUCACCAGAGAAGACGCCUUCGCCAGAGAAGACAUUUCCAUCAGAGGAGCCAAUAAACGCGCGGGAAGGUCUCCCGCGUAUUAUCGAAAUUACCAACGUAUCCUUCCACCACGCAGGACGCAUGCACCGAAGAUAUUUUUACUAUUUUACCCCUCCGCUUGUAAAUCUAUAAAUAGGGCCCGAGCUCGUGUAUUAUUUCUUACGCUAUCUCAUAUUUUUAAUACAACAGUCAUUUUUCUCUCCCGUAUUAAGUUUCCGAUCAUU
rnacentral:lncRNA from 1 species